AUGGGCUUUAGUCCAGCCCCUGAUAUAUAAGGGGCUGAAUUCUCUAUUCUAACUCUCUUUGUUCCUGGACCUAAAAGCGUACAAGUCAAGUCAAGCAUAUCUAGGCCAAAGCCUAUAAACCUGCAGCCAAAUCAAAUCUGAAUGCCGGGACAGCUAUGAGUAAGUGACCAAGUGAGAAAAGGAGAAACAGGAAUUUCCAUAGUAACUGUGCCAGGCAAGAGAUGAACAAACAAUCCAGCUAUUCUUAUCUCACAAAUAUUUUAUUAGUUACACCAACAAGGAAAGCCAUGUUGUCCUUCUGAGCCUAAUUAAUGCCGGUGUUUUAGCUCAUUGGAGCCUCUAGGGAGUGAAGUGGGAAGAGCAGAAGUUAUCUCAUCUUCAAAAGAAAAGAUUUUUUUUUUUUUUGCCUUUCUUGGGAUUUGAACUUAAAAAGAG